rnacentral:rRNA from 1 species
GACGAACGCUGGCGGCGUGCUUAACACAUGCAAGUCGAACGGUAAGGCCCUUCGGGGUACACGAGUGGCGAACGGGUGAGUAACACGUGGGUGAUCUGCCCUGCACUUUGGGAUAAGCCUGGGAAACUGGGUCUAAUACCGAAUAUGACCAUGGACUUCACGGUUUGUGGUGGAAAGCUUUUGCGGUGUGGGAUGGGCCCGCGGCCUAUCAGCUUGUUGGUGGGGUAAUGGCCCUACCAAGGCGACGACGGGUAGCCAGCCUGAGAGGGGUGGACCGGCCACACUGGGACUGAGAUACGGCCCAGACUCCUACGGGAGGCAGCAGUGGGGAAGUAUUGCACAAUGGGCGCAAGCCUGAUGCAGCGACGCCGCGUGGGGGAUGACGGCCUUCGGGUUGUUAAACCGUACCUUUCUACCUACGGAC